CAGUAGCCGCGGUAAUACGUAGGGUGCAAGCGUUAAUCGGAAUUACUGGGCGUAAAGCGUGCGCAGGCGGUCCGCUAAGACAGAUGUGAAAUCCCCGGGCUUAACCUGGGAACUGCAUUUGUGACUGGCGGGCUAGAGUGUGGCAGAGGGGGGUAGAAUUCCACGUGUAGCAGUGAAAUGCGUAGAGAUGUGGAGGAAUACCGAUGGCGAAGGCAGCCCCCUGGGCCAAUACUGACGCUCAUGCACGAAAGCGUGGGGAGCAAACAGGAUUAGAGACCCGAGUAGUCCCUGUCUCUUAUAC
rnacentral:rRNA from 1 species